rnacentral:lncRNA from 1 species
UUCUGGAUUGCAUUGGCAAACUACUCAAUAGAAAUUUAUAAAGGAUACUUUAAGAGCAGGAAAUCCCUUGUCAGGCAGAAAGCACUAUAGGCAGACAAUUCUCAUGUCCAACAAGAUUCAUUUUUUCCAUCACUUUACACCCUAGAAAACUGAUACAGACUUCCCCAGUUGAAGUUUAAUACAGAACAUAGGUUUAUGAAGUGUGGAACCUCAUAGGUACUGCUGCUUCUCCAUUCUUUGGACUUGAAUUCUACCAACAGCUU